GCCUGGGUGGCUCAGUCGGUUGAGCGUCCGACUUUGGCUCAGGUCAUGAUCUCACAGUCUGUGAGUUCGAGCCCCACAUCAGGCU
rnacentral:tRNA from 1 species